GCGCCCGUAGCUCAGUUGGAUAGAGCGGCGGACUCCGGAUCCGCAGGCCGAAGGUUCAAAUCCUUUCGGGCGCA
rnacentral:tRNA from 1 species